UGGGGGCUGGGCUGCGCCAUGCCAUUGGUGAGAUGCUGCUGCAGACUGUGCACUCAGAUCGGCAGCCAUUUUGAGAGUUUGGCAGACCCUCACUUAGCACCCUGAUGAGCGCAAAAAAAUCUACGACCGUGGCCACUGCUGCAGUAUUUAGCUGAGGAUCUUGGCUUUGGUGGGGGUUUGGGGUUUUUUUUUUGGGGGGGGGGGUUGUAAAACAAAUUUCUAGCCCUCAAUGUUAUGGAUGCAAAAUCUGAAUAAAACUGGUACUUAGAUAGUACUUGACAUACAUUAUGUCAAUGAUUCUUCCAUCAGCCUUGUAAGAAACGCCAAUAUGGUGUGGUUAGUGAGUAGGACUAGAAUGUGGGAGAUCCCAGUUCGAAUCCCCAGUCUGCCGUGGAAGCUUGGUAGGUGUUCUGGAGCCAGUCCCACUCUGUCAGCCUAACCUACCUCAUUGGGUUGCUGUGAGGAUAAAAUGGAGGAAAAGAGGACAAUCUGUGUUGCCUUUGGUCACCUUUAGGAAGAAAGGUGGGCAUAAACAAAGUAAAUAAAGUGUUUCGGACGGGAGAUUGCCAAUGAUAUUCCUAAAUGUCCCUCCUGAGGUAAUGAUAUUCCUAAAUGUCCCUCCUGAGGUAAUGAUAUUCCUAAAUGUCCCUCCUGAGGUAAUGAUAUUCCUAAACCUCCCUCCUGAGGUAAUGAUAUUCCUAAACCUCCCUCCUGAGGUAAUGAUAUUCCUAAAUGUCCCUCCUGAGGUAAUGAUAUUCCUAAACCUCCCUCCUGAGGUAAUGAUAUUCCUAAAUGUCCCUCCUGAGGUAAUGAUAUUCCUAAAUGUCCC